rnacentral:rRNA from 1 species
UUUUAUGGAGAGUUUGAUCCUGGCUCAGGAUGAACGCUGGCGGCGUGCCUAAUACAUGCAAGUCGAGCGAACGGACGAGAAGCUUGCUUCUCUGAUGUUAGCGGCGGACGGGUGAGUAACACGUGGAUAACCUACCUAUAAGACUGGGAUAACUUCGGGAAACCGGAGCUAAUACCGGAUAAUAUUUUGAACCGCAUGGUUCAAAAGUGAAAGACGGUCUUGCUGUCACUUAUAGACGGAUCCGCGCUGCAUUAGCUAGUUGGUAAGGUAACGGCUUACCAAGGCAACGAUGCAUAGCCGACCUGAGAGGGUGAUCGGCCACACUGGAACUGAGACACGGUCCAGACUCCUACGGGAGGCAGCAGUAGGGAAUCUUCCGCAAUGGGCGAAAGCCUGACGGAGCAACGCCGCGUGAGUGAUGAAGGUCUUCGGAUCGUAAAACUCUGUUAUUAGGGAAGAACAUAUGUGUAAGUAACUGUGCACAUCUUGACGGUACCUAAUCAGAAAGCCACGGCUAACUACGUGCCAGCAGCCGCGGUAAUACGUAGGUGGCAAGCGUUAUCCGGAAUUAUUGGGCGUAAAGCGCGCGUAGGCGGUUUUUUAAGUCUGAUGUGAAAGCCCACGGCUCAACCGUGGAGGGUCAUUGGAAACUGGAAAACUUGAGUGCAGAAGAGGAAAGUGGAAUUCCAUGUGUAGCGGUGAAAUGCGCAGAGAUAUGGAGGAACACCAGUGGCGAAGGCGACUUUCUGGUCUGUAACUGACGCUGAUGUGCGAAAGCGUGGGGAUCAAACAGGAUUAGAUACCCUGGUAGUCCACGCCGUAAACGAUGAGUGCUAAGUGUUAGGGGGUUUCCGCCCCUUAGUGCUGCAGCUAACGCAUUAAGCACUCCGCCUGGGGAGUACGACCGCAAGGUUGAAACUCAAAGGAAUUGACGGGGACCCGCACAAGCGGUGGAGCAUGUGGUUUAAUUCGAAGCAACGCGAAGAACCUUACCAAAUCUUGACAUCCUUUGACAACUCUAGAGAUAGAGCCUUCCCCUUCGGGGGACAAAGUGACAGGUGGUGCAUGGUUGUCGUCAGCUCGUGUCGUGAGAUGUUGGGUUAAGUCCCGCAACGAGCGCAACCCUUAAGCUUAGUUGCCAUCAUUAAGUUGGGCACUCUAAGUUGACUGCCGGUGACAAACCGGAGGAAGGUGGGGAUGACGUCAAAUCAUCAUGCCCCUUAUGAUUUGGGCUACACACGUGCUACAAUGGACAAUACAAAGGGCAGCGAAACCGCGAGGUCAAGCAAAUCCCAUAAAGUUGUUCUCAGUUCGGAUUGUAGUCUGCAACUCGACUACAUGAAGCUGGAAUCGCUAGUAAUCGUAGAUCAGCAUGCUACGGUGAAUACGUUCCCGGGUCUUGUACACACCGCCCGUCACACCACGAGAGUUUGUAACACCCGAAGCCGGUGGAGUAACCUUUUAGGAGCUAGCCGUCGAAGGUGGGACAAAUGAUUGGGGUGAAGUCGUAACAAGGUAGCCGUAUCGGAAGGUGCGGCUGGAUCACCUCCUUUCUAA